rnacentral:rRNA from 1 species
AUUGAACGCUGGCGGCAGGCCUAACACAUGCAAGUCGAGCGGAUGAAGGGAGCUUGCUCCUGGAUUCAGCGGCGGACGGGUGAGUAAUGCCUAGGAAUCUGCCUGGUAGUGGGGGAUAACGUCCGGAAACGGGCGCUAAUACCGCAUGCGUCCUGAGGGAGAAAGUGGGGGAUCUUCGGACCUCACGCUAUCAGAUGAGCCUAGGUCGGAUUAGCUAGUUGGUGGGGUAAAGGCCUACCAAGGCGACGAUCCGUAACUGGUCUGAGAGGAUGAUCAGUCACACUGGAACUGAGACACGGUCCAGACUCCUACGGGAGGCAGCAGUGGGGAAUAUUGGACGAUGGGCGAAAGCCUGAUCCAGCCAUGCCGCGUGUGUGAAGAAGGUCUUCGGAUUGUAAAGCACUUUAAGUUGGGAGGAAGGGCAGUAAGUUAAUACCUUGCUGUUUUGACGUUACCAACAGAAUAAGCACCGGCUAACUUCGUG